rnacentral:rRNA from 1 species
UGGGGAAUAUUGGACAAUGGGGGCAACCCUGAUCCAGCAAUGCCGCGUGUGUGAAGAAGGUCUUCGGAUUGUAAAGCACUUUCGACGGGGACGAUGAUGACGGUACCCGUAGAAGAAGCCCCGGCUAACUUCGUGCCAGCAGCCGCGGUAAUACGAAGGGGGCUAGCGUUGCUCGGAAUGACUGGGCGUAAAGGGCGUGUAGGCGGUUUACACAGUCAGAUGUGAAAUCCCCGGGCUUAACCUGGGAGCUGCAUUUGAUACGUGUAGACUAGAGUGUGAGAGAGGGUUGUGGAAUUCCCAGUGUAGAGGUGAAAUUCGUAGAUAUUGGGAAGAACACCGGUGGCGAAGGCGGCAACCUGGCUCAUGACUGACGCUGAGGCGCGAAAGCGUGGGGAGCAAACAGGAUUAGAUACCCUGGUAGUC